GGGGCUGUAGCUCAGUGGUAGAGUGCUCGUCUAGUAUGUGUGAGGCCCUGGGCUCUAUCCUCAGCACCACA
rnacentral:tRNA from 1 species